AACGAACGCUGGCGGCAUGCCUAACACAUGCAAGUCGAACGGGACCUCCGUGUCUAGUGGCGCUCGGGUGCGUCACGCGUGGGAACGUGCACUUAGGUUACGGAUACCUCCCCUUAGGGGGGGCUAAUGCCGGAUAAUGUCUUCUGACAACGGAUUUAUCGCGUUUGGGUGGGCGGGCGUUGGUUUAGCCGGUUGGUAGGGUAAAAGCCUAUCAAGGCGUCGCUCCUUAGCUGGUCUGAGAGGAUGAGCAGCCACACUGGGGCUGAGACACGGCCCAGAAUACUAGGCGAGGGAGGAGAGGGGAAUACUGGACAAGGGGGGAAGGCCUGAUCCAGCAAUGCCGGGUGAGUGAUGAAGGCGGUAGGGUUGUAAAGCUCUUUUACCCGGGGUGAUAAUGACGGUACCGGGAGAAUAAGCACCGGCUAACUCCGUG
rnacentral:rRNA from 1 species